ACAGGGAUUGCCUUAGUAACGGCGAGUGAAGCGGCAACAGCUCAAAUUUGAAAUCUGGCUCUUUUAGGGUCCGAGUUGUAAUUUGUAGAGGGUGCUUUGGCGUUGGCAGCAGUCUAAGUUCCUUGGAACAGGACGUCACAGAGGGUGAGAAUCCCGUACGUGGCUGCAUGUCUUCGCCGUGUAAAGCCCCUUCGACGAGUCGAGUUGUUUGGGAAUGCAGCUCUAAAUGGGAGGUAAAUUUCUUCUAAAGCUAAAUAUUGGCCAGAGACCGAUAGCGCACAAGUAGAGUGAUCGAAAGAUGAAAAGCACUUUGGAAAGAGAGUCAAAAAGCACGUGAAAUUGUUGAAAGGGAAGCGCUUGCAGCCAGACUUGCCUGUAGUUGCUCACCCGGGCUCUUGCCUGGGGCACUCUUCUACGGGUAGGCCAGCAUCAGUUUGGGCGGCUGGAGAAAGGCCUCUGUCACGUAUCUCCCUCCGGGGUGACCUUAUAGGGGAGGCGUAAUGCAGCCAGCUCAGACUGAGGUCCGCGCAUCUGCUAGGAUGCUGGCGUAAUGGCUGUAAGCGGCCCGUCUUGAAACACGGACCAAGGAGUCUAACAUCUAUGCGAGUGUUUGGGUGUCAAGCCCGAGCGCGUAAUGAAAGUGAACGGAGGUGGGAACCCUUCGGGGCGCACCAUCGACCGAUCCUGAUGUCUUCGGAUGGAUUUGAGUAAGAGCAUAGCUGUUGGGACCCGAAAGAUGGUGAACUAUGCUUGAAUAGGGUGAAGCCAGAGGAAACUCUGGUGGAAGCUCGCAGCGGUUCUGACGUGCAAAUCGAUCGUCAAAUUUGGGCAUAGGGGCGAAAGACUAAUCGAACUAUCUAGUAGCUGGUUCCUGCCGAAGUUUCCCUCAGGAUAGCAGUAACG
rnacentral:rRNA from 1 species